GAGUUGCGAACGGGUGAGUAACGCGUAGGUAACCUGCCUGGUAGCGGGGGAUAACUAUUGGAAACGAUAGCUAAUACCGCAUAAUAUUAAUUAUUGCAUGAUAAUUGAUUGAAAGAUGCAACUGCAUCACUACCAGAUGGACCUGCGUUGUAUUAGCUAGUAGGUGAGGUAACGGCUCACCUAGGCGACGAUACAUAGCCGACCUGAGAGGGUGAUCGGCCACACUGGGACUGAGACACGGCCCAGACUCCUACGGGAGGCAGCAGUAGGGAAUCUUCGGCAAUGGACGAAAGUCUGACCGAGCAACGCCGCGUGAGUGAAGAAGGUUUUCGGAUCGUAAAGCUCUGUUGUAAGAGAAGAACGGGUGUGAGAGUGGAAAGUUCACACUGUGACGGUAUCUUACCAGAAAGGGACGGCUAACUACGUGCCAGCAGCCGCGGUAAUACGUAGGUCCCGAGCGUUGUCCGGAUUUAUUGGGCGUAAAGCGAGCGCAGGCGGUUAGAUAAGUCUGAAGUUAAAGGCUGUGGCUUAACCAUAGUACGCUUUGGAAACUGUUUAACUUGAGUGCAGAAGGGGAGAGUGGAAUUCCAUGUGUAGCGGUGAAAUGCGUAGAUAUAUGGAGGAACACCGGUGGCGAAAGCGGCUCUCUGGUCUGUAACUGACGCUGAGGCUCGAAAGCGUGGGGAGCGAACAGGAUUAGAUACCCUGGUAGUCCACGCCGUAAACGAUGAGUGCUAGGUGUUAGGCCCUUUCCGGGGCUUAGUGCCGCAGCUAACGCAUUAAGCACUCCGCCUGGGGAGUACGACCGCAAGGUUGAAACUCAAAGGAAUUGACGGGGGCCCGCACAAGCGGUGGAGCAUGUGGUUUAAUUCGAAGCAACGCGAAGAACCUUACCAGGUCUUGACAUCCCGAUGCCCGCUCUAGAGAUAGAGUUUUACUUCGGUACAUCGGUGACAGGUGGUGCAUGGUUGUCGUCAGCUCGUGUCGUGAGAUGUUGGGUUAAGUCCCGCAACGAGCGCAACCCUUAUUGUUAGUUGCCAUCAUUCAGUUGGGCACUCUAGCGAGACUGCCGGUAAUAAACCGGAGGAAGGUGGGGAUGACGUCAAAUCAUCAUGCCCCUUAUGACCUGGGCUACACACGUGCUACAAUGGCUGGUACAACGAGUCGCAAGUCGGUGACGGCAAGCUAAUCUCUUAAAGCCAGUCUCAGUUCGGAUUGUAGGCUGCAACUCGCCUACAUGAAGUCGGAAUC
rnacentral:rRNA from 1 species